CCCUUAGACGCUCUAGGCGGCACGCGCGCUACAAUGGGUGGUAGAACGUGUAACUGCUCCCGAAAGGGAGGGUGAACCACGAAUACUUACCCGUGAAUGGGAUAGUUUGUUGCAAUUUUCGGACUUGAACUAGGAAUCCCCUGUAAGAAUGCUCAAGAAUAGCGUGCUGAAUACGUCCCUGCCGUUUGUACACACCGCCCGUCGUUUCUUCCGACUGAUACUCAUUGUGAGUUGCAAGGAUUCUUAUUGAAAAAUUGCUGCGAAUGCUUUGUAUUGGAGGAAGAAAAAGUCGUAACA
rnacentral:rRNA from 1 species